GAUGAACGCUGGCGGCGUGCCUAAUACAUGCAAGUCGAGCGAACAGACGAGGAGCUUGCUCCUCUGACGUUAGCGGCGGACGGGUGAGUAACACGUGGAUAACCUACCUAUAAGACUGGGAUAAUUUCGGGAAACCGGAUCUUAUACCGGAUAAUAUAUUGAACCGCAUGGUUCAAUAGUGAAAGACGGUUUUGCUGUCACUUAUAGAUGGAUUCGCGCCUCAUGAGCUAGUUGGUAAGGUAACGGCUUACCAAGGCGUCGAUGCGUAGCCGAGCUGAGAGGGGGAACGGCCACCGAGGAGGUGACGCGCGACACAGACUCUGAAGGGAGGCAGAAGCAGGGACUCGUGCGAACAGGGGGAAAGCCUGCAGGAGGAGCGCCGCGUGGGUGAUGAAGGUCUGCGUAUGGUAAAACUGUGUUAUGAGGGAAGAACAAAUGUGUAAGUAACUAUGCACGUCUUGAGGGUACCUAAACAGAAAGCCACGGCAAACUAGGG
rnacentral:rRNA from 1 species